rnacentral:lncRNA from 1 species
AAGAGAAAUAGUGAGAGGACAACAGGGAAGGGGAAAUGAUAAAGAAAAAAAUUAAAAAAAUUAGUGAGAUGAACACUUGAUGGAUACUUAGAACAGUGAAAGCAAAAACAGAACUUAUGUUUCAAUAAAUAUUUAAUAAAGUUUAACAAAGAUUAAUAAAUGAACAAAAACCAAGCUAAUUCAUACUGUAGAAACUUGCAAAGAUAGGAGAUACCAGAAAGUAGGUGUAGGGCUGGGAAUUUGCUGCUUAAAGAUUUAGGAUCAGUUAGAUCCCACUGCCCUCCCUCCAUACCCAGAUCUGCCACCCAUCUCAAUAGGGAAGCAGCAGAUAAUUCUAGCCAAAAAUUGACAGAGGGGCUCUAGAAUAUUGAGCACCAUGGAGAAUGGAGUUUGAAAGUUAUGCUCAGAACAGGAAGGGAAUACAACAGUCUACACAUGGGAUGGUAAGAGUUACAGCCUCUUGUCCUCUAUGCCAAUCCCAGGACUCGGAAAGCAAGGCUUCCGUCCUCCUACCACUGCCUUGAUGCUGGCACAGGUAAAUGAGGCAGCAGUUACUCCAGGGGUUAACCAUGCAAUUAACUGAUCUUUGCUGGAUCACAUUUUUCGCAAGCCCCAGAGUCUAUAUUUUCUGCCCAUGAACACAGAACAUCUCACCAUCUUCUCCCUACUUUAUUCCAAAAUACCUCAUGAGAGCCUGAGCUCUUCAUAUUUUGUUGACACCAAGUCUCCAAGAUAAAAGAGGACACUGAAGCAAAGAGAAGGAAAAGCCAAGCAAAGGGAACAAGUAAUGAAAGGAACAGCAGAAUCACUGCUACAAAGUACAAUUAAUAUCCUUCAGGAACAAGGGAAAAAUGCUACCUCUGUAAACAGAGAUGUGGUACUUGGAAAAGAAGCAUCCAAAGGACAUGCUCCUUCGGAAGAGUUUUCAGAGGGAAGAAGCUAGUGAUCAGAAAUCGCAGUGGCCUUGCAGUCUGCAGCAGCUACACCGGAUAGUGGGUCGCAAGAAUUGCCUUUGGAAUCUUCAGGAAAAACACAUGCCAGCUUUGAGUGAUAAGCUCAGACACUCUUUCAGUUGAUGUGAAUAUAGAAUAGAGACAUUUCUGAACAUGCUUAGUUCUCAAAAUACUUACCUUUUAUUUAUUCUUUCCCAAGAAGGUCUUGGAAGGUAAGCUCUAAACAAGAGAGGGAAUCAAGAGGUAGUCAACACUUGAGAAAGAUGGAGGAGUGUGGAGGGUGAUGGUGGAGCAGAUGGGACAAAAAGCAAAAGUUAAGGAGCAGAGGUCGUUGAAAGCUGUAUCUCCAAAACAAAAGGAAACAAAAAUUAUAUGGGUUACCAGAAUAUAUGACGAUAUUGAGAGAUUUUAUAUAAUUGUUGGUUGGGGAAGAAGUAGUGAUGGACACGUUAACAAAUAAUCAGGAGUUCCCGCCAUGGUGCAGUGGAAAUGAAUCUGACUAGGAAUCGUGAGGUUACGGGUUGAAUCCCUGGCCUCACUCAAAGGGUGAAGGAUCCAGCAUUGCCGUGAGCUGUGGCUCAGAUCUGGCGUUGCUGUGGCGAAGGCUGGCAGCUACAGCUCUGAUUAGACCCCUAGCCUGGGAACCUCCAUAUGCCGUGGGUGAAGCCCUAAAAACAAAAAAACAAAAACAAAAAAACCACAAAUAAUCAAAUCUAAAUAUUUAAGCAAUUAUUCAUCUUGGUUAACAAACAAUGAUGUAAUUAGUAAUGUAGUCUUAGUAUAGAAUUUGUCUGUCAUUUUAAUAUGAAUAGCGAAAAAAUCAUGAUAUAGCUGUCGUAGGGAAAUAAGGGAAGAAAAUGCUUAGCGCAGUGGUUAACGAAUCCGACUAGGAACCAUGAGGUUGCGGGUCCGAUCCCUGCCCUUGCUCAGUGGGUUAAGGAUCCGGCGUUGCCGUGAGCUGUGGUGCAGGUUGCAGACGCGGCUCGGAUCCCGCAUUGCUGUGGCUCUGGCGUAGGCCGGCGGCUGCAGCUCUGAUUCAACCCCUAGCCUGGGAACCUCCACAUGCUGUGGGAGCGGCCCAAGAAAUGGCAAAAAGACAUAAAUAAAUAAAUAAAUAAAUAAUAGUAAAAAAUAUGUUGACAUUUUUUGGAGGAAAAAAUGUCAUCAUCACCAGAUACUAAUUGAGACUCUGAUACUUUAAAAUUUCAUUUUAAUAAAUAUGAUUAUAUACUAGAGUCAAAUAACUCUUGGGGAAGAAUUUAAGAUUAGGAGAUAAGGUUCUGACAUAAAUACAAUUUUCUCCAGGAAAACUGCCCUGAACCCACAAGGGUUCGUUCAGUGUUAUAUGUGAACAGUCUAUAAUAGUCUAAGCCUUCCCGUCAGAGUCAACACAUAUGCUCCUAUAGGCAGUCGGUUGUCGGUCCGCCCCUGGGCUGAGGGUCAAGGUGGGUGGGGAGGUGUGUAUGGUGGUAAUUCCUGUAUCCUGGCCGUCAACAAGCAGCACCUACAACACUGGCUUUCAGUAGGUGUUGUUGGCUUAGUGUUAAGUGAAAGAGAUAGGCCUCUCGAACAGCAAAGGUUAGUCUGGUUGAAGAGAUAGAAAAACUAUAAAUUCCACCCCUAGGUCUUAGAAUUACAUGGUUGACUUUUGCUCACUGUUUAAUGUUCUGGAUUGCAAACUAUUUUACAACCUAAAUUUAUUUUGAAAUGUGUUCUUAUCAGAGUCUCUUGGCACACUUUAGGCACAAUUACAAACCAGUGGCCAUUUGUGAAUUUGCAUCACCGUCCUAAUUUCAUUAGUUUUUGUUAGGAAGCAUGGACUUAGGGGGAAAAAUGUAAUAACAUUGGUUUAAAAAGGGCAAAAAAAAGCAUUCAUUACUCUUUGAUUAAAUUUCUAAUCAGUAUUCAUUUCCAGUUUCUUCCAAGUUUCACUAGAACAUAGCAAAUAAAAAACAAAUCACCACGUCUGGCAAUAUUUAAAAUAUGAAUGUCACUUUCCAAAUUCAUUAUUUUCCUUUCCUCAAGGCAACAGACAGCUUAGCUUUCAUGGCAAGAAAAAUAGCUCCUCUGUGGUCAUUUCUAUGCAUUAAAAGAUUUUAAAUUUUCCAAGACAUUAUUCCAGUUUGAUCUCACACAUGCUGAAGGCAAACACAGACUAUUUACAUUAUGCUUUUUCUCCAAGUGAAUGACUUUUGCUAUAUUAUUCCAAAACCUGUCAGUACAUCUGAUAAUAGCAGAGCCUUUCCACUUUUAAGUGUUGUUUAUUUCAUUAAUGUAAUAGAUGACAAGGACCUUCAUUUUUGAAAACGGAGUCAACAUCUUCCCCGCGGGAAGGUGAACUGAAGUGAAAUGAGGAAAAACAAUGAUGUCUAUUCCUUUCUUUGCCUGAGAUUGUUGUUAGGGAGAAGCCGGCCCCAUAAAUGAAUCUGAAGACGCUUUAAUGCAGAAGUCUCCUGCAACAUUGUUAAAUAUGAUUAAAGUGUCUCUAAUUCAUUUAAAUCUAUUAAAAUUGGUCUAUAUAGUAUUUUUAAUUUUAAAAAAUGUAUGUCACAAUUCAAGACCAGAGUAGAAAAAGAGAAAGAAGGAUUUAUUCAAAUCUUUUAUACUUAUUUAUCUGAAUCAGAAUAGACAAAUUCUCCAAUUGUUGAUUUUUUAUUCCUAGCAUCUGGUUUGAUUCUAGACUUUUUUUUUUUUUAGUUUUUUUUUUAAAUUUUAUUACUCAACUUUAAUUCUGGAAUAUUUAUUUUAAACUUUGUAUAUAAUUUUAUUGGUUAUGAAAAUGCUAUCUUUGUUCUCCCAACCUAAUCUGUACUUCAAAGCACUGUCCUGAACCCUCAUGUGUUAUUUUUAAAGUAAUAACUUCUGCAUUUCCAUGUAGCUCUGACAAGAGUCAGGCCUGACUUCCAACAAACUGAACUUCUAGGGUUUGCAAAAGUAGCCUUUCUCAGCUUUAAAGAUUUACUCAAGCAAUUCUCACAAGGAGACUAUGGUGUAUGGGUUUUAUUCUUUUUCCCAUUUUGCUGAAUUUUUUAAGGCUCAAGAGUUUCCCCAAGACCACGCAGCUCUCAAUAUGAAGUUAAGAUUCUAGUCUGAUAAGUUUGGCUCCAGCCUACAGAUACUUAACCUUCCUGCCCGUCAGGGUGAAACGUUCCAUCCAUACAAUGUUUAUCUGUAACGUGCGUAUUCCCUCUCAUGGGCUUUGAAAUGUCUUUGCCUCCAAAAAAGUACAACAUAAAGUGGUGAAAUAUCCCACUCUUUUUACCUCGCGACUGUCUGAUGUCACACAUGCAUCUUCCGGUCUCUGGGAGGCUAUUAUUACACAACACUGCUGCUCCAUGUCUGUGCUCAAGUUGGCUUGCUGAUUCAUCUGGGCAAGUCACUGAUGCUGCCGAAGCUGGGUGUUCAGAUUUGAGCAGCGUCUCUCCAAACGACAGAGGCCGACCCCUGGGGGUAGCUAUUUACCCUCCCCGGGAUCAGCAACCCCUAUAAAAUUUUGCUUUAUGUGAAUGCAAAAACUCAGUUUGUUUUUAAUUUUGCCUUGAGGUAUGUCCGACGUGCUUGAGAAAAUAAGGCAUCCAUCCAUUAACUGGGCAGCGACAACAUGAGUCACCAUAUAACCAUGUGACAAAUUAAGUGGAGUCAUACACAUUGAAAGGAAAAAAGCUUUCUGAAUUAAGUUAUUUGUUGGUAAUACAUGGAUGCAAUAUAAAUGCUUUAUGUAAAGGUAAGGAGUUCCCGUUGUGGCUCAGUGGGUUGAGAACCUGACAGUGUCCAUGGGGAUGUGGGUGGUAUCCCUGGCCUCACUCAGAGAGGUUAAGGAUCUGGGUUUGCCACAAGCUGCGGUGUAAGUCACAGCUGCGGCUCGGAUCUGGUGUUGCUGUGGCUGUGAUGCAGGCUGGCAGCUGCAGGUCCGAUUCAACCCCUAGCCCAUCAGGAACUUCCAUAUG